rnacentral:rRNA from 1 species
UGCGUAGGCGGUCGGGUAAGUCUGAUGUGAAAUCUUCAAGCUUAACUUGGAAACUGCAUCGGAUACUAUUCGGCUAGAGGAAUGGAGGGGAGACUGGAAUACUUGGUGUAGCAGUGAAAUGCGUAGAUAUCAAGUGGAACACCAGUGGCGAAGGCGAGUCUCUGGACAUUUCCUGACGCUGAGGCACGAAAGCCAGGGGAGCAAACG